UUUAAAAGGUGGAUAUUCCUUCUAUGUUUAUGUUGUUUAUGGUUAAACAUAGAGGAAAUUCUACAUUUUCAG
rfam:Pteropus alecto contig163915, whole genome shotgun sequence.